rnacentral:lncRNA from 1 species
AUGCAAUGCAAAACAUUUUUUGGAUUUAGACAAAAAUAUGUACUGUAGAGCAUUUUAGGAUAGGAGUUAUCCAUUCAUUUAUUGAAUUUAUCAUAUAAACUAUAAUAUAUGUAAUUAUAUAUUCAUUGAAUAUAUUAUUGAAUACGCUGAAUAUAUCUGCUGCCAGUUGUUAAUGAACUGAAUGUGCUGCCCCUGCCCCAAAUUCAUAUGUUGAAAUCUAAUCCCUUAUAUGAUGGUAUUUGAUGUGGAGGUAGGGCGUAUGG